CUUGCUUCCACUGAAUCAAGAUUACUGCAGUCUUUGUCUCCCUCAUCAGAAGCUUCAUCACAAUUGCUGGCAGAAGCACCACAUUUUGAUUGAUGUUCGCCUAGUGAAGAUGACACAAAUGCCAAAGAACUUUGUAUUACACCUGAAGGAACAGGCUCUUCAAUUCUUGCACCAUCUUGAUCCACUUCAAACAGUUCCUCAUCCCCAUUAACAUCAAUCCUUCUCUCCUUGUGUGCAUCAUAACUAGUAUUGACUCCAGUGGAUGCAUUACCU
rnacentral:misc_RNA from 1 species